rnacentral:rRNA from 1 species
GAGUUUGAUCAUGGCUCAGAUUGAACGCUGGCGGCAUGCCUUACACAUGCAAGUCGAACGGCAGCACGGGAGCAAUCCUGGUGGCGAGUGGCGAACGGGUGAGUAAUAUAUCGGAACGUGCCCAGUCGUGGGGGAUAACGUAGCGAAAGUUACGCUAAUACCGCAUACGAUCUACGGAUGAAAGCGGGGGACUCGCAAGAGCCUCGCGCGAUUGGAGCGGCCGAUAUCAGAUUAUGCUGUUGGUGAGGUAAAAGCUCACCAAGCCUGCGAUCUGUAGCUGGUCUG